rnacentral:rRNA from 1 species
CAAUAAGCGGAGGAAAAGAAACCAACAGGGAUUGCCUCAGUAACGGCGAGUGAAGCGGCAACAGCUCAAAUUUGAAAUCUGGCCCCUCCCCGGGGGGGCCCGAGUUGUAAUUUGCAGAGGAUGCUUUGGGCGAGGCGCCUUCCGAGUUCCCUGGAACGGGACGCCACAGAGGGUGAGAGCCCCGUCUGGUCGGACGCCGAGCCUCUGUAAAGCUCCUUCGACGAGUCGAGUAGUUUGGGAAUGCUGCUCUAAAUGGGAGGUAUAUGUCUUCUAAAGCUAAAUACCGGCCAGAGACCGAUAGCGCACAAGUAGAGUGAUCGAAAGAUGAAAAGCACCUUGAAAAGGGGGUUAAACAGUACGUGAAAUUGUUGAAAGGGAAGCGCUUGUGACCAGACUUGGGGCGGGCGGAUCAUCCGGCGUUCUCGCCGGUGCACUCCGCCCGCCACAGGCCAGCAUCAGUUCGCGCCGGGGGACAAAGGCGGCGGGAACGUGGCUCCCCCGGGAGUGUUAUAGCCCGCCGCGUCAUGCCCUGGGGCGGACUGAGGUUCGCGCAUCUUGCAAGGAUGCUGGCGUAAUGGUCACCAGCGACCCGUCUUGAAA